GAUGAACGCUGGCGGCGUGCCUAAUACAUGCAAGUCGAGCGAACGGACGAGAAGCUUGCUUCUCUGAUGUUAGCGGCGGACGGGUGAGUAACACGUGGAUAACCUACCUAUAAGACUGGGAUAACUUCGGGAAACCGGGGCUAAUACCGGAUAAUAUUUUGAACCGCAUGGUUCAAAAGUGAAAGACGGUCUUGCUGUCACUUAUAGAUGGAUCCGCGCUGCAUUAGCUAGUUGGUAAGGUAACGGCUUACCAAGGCAACGAUGCAUAGCCGACCUGAGAGGGUGAUCGGCCACACUGGAACUGAGACACGGUCCAGACUCCUACGGGAGGCAGCAGUAGGGAAUCUUCCGCAAAGGGCGAAAGCCUGACGGAGCAACGCCGCGUGAGUGAUGAAGGUCUUCGGAUCGUAAAACUCUGUUAUUAGGGAAGAACAUAUGUGCAAGUAACUGUGCACAUCUUGACGGUACCUAAUCAGAAAGCCACGGCUAACUACGUG
rnacentral:rRNA from 1 species